rnacentral:rRNA from 1 species
GCAGGCUGCAACCCGCCUCGCAUGAAGUCGGAAUUGCUAGUAAUCGCGGAUCAGCAUGCCACGGUGAAUACGUUCCCGGGCCUUGCACACACCGCCCGUCACACCAUGGGAGUCGGUAACACCCGAAGCCUGUAGUCUAACCGCAAGGAGGACGCAGUCGAAGGUGGGAUUGAUGACUGGGGUGAAGUCGUAACAAGGUAUC